rnacentral:tRNA from 7 species
GCGGGAGUAGCUCAGUUGGUAGAGCGCAACCUUGCCAAGGUUGAGGUCGCGGGUUCGAGCCCCGUCUCCCGCUCCA